GAUGAACGCUGGCGGCGUGCCUAAUACAUGCAAGUCGAGCGAACAGACGAGGAGCUUGCUCCUCUGACGUUAGCGGCGGACGGGUGAGUAACACGUGGAUAACCUACCUAUAAGACUGGGAUAACUUCGGGAAACCGGAGCUAAUACCGGAUAACAUGUUGAACCGCAUGGUUCAACAGUGAAAGACGGUCCUGCUGUCACUUAUAGAUGGAUCCGCGCCGCAUUAGCUAGUUGGUAAGGUAACGGCUUACCAAGGCAACGAUGCGUAGCCGACCUGAGAGGGUGAUCGGCCACACUGGAACUGAGGCACGGUCCAGACUCCUACGGGAGGCAGCAGUAGGGAAUCUUCCGCAAUGGGCGAAAGCCUGACGGAGCAACGCCGCGUGAGUGAAGAAGGUCUUCGGAUCGUAAAACUCUGUUAUUAGGGAAGAACAAAUGUGUAAGUAACUAUGCACGUCUUGACGGUACCUAAUCAGAAAGCCACGGCUAACUACGUG
rnacentral:rRNA from 1 species